AUUUUAUUUCUUACCUGAUUGAAAAAAAUCUUGACGACAAAGCCUGGAGGUGACCGUGUCAUGGAGGAGUAUGCGAAAACGAAAUCAUUUACAGAUUCAACCAGAAGACAGCUCAUCAACAUACUUACUGCAGAGAUGACGGAAACACAUGGCACAUCGCCGCCCCGGAGUGUAAAAGUGAUGUAUGCACAGGGGAUUGUCGCUCUGUUUCCAUACCUUGAAGACCCAUAUUCACAGAAUGGCUAUGAACAUUACUACGAUCCUGAAAGUGGUUCAGGCUACAUUGCAUGGCGGUUGAAGACAAUUCAACGAAAAGCUGCUGAGGAAAGAGGUCCUGCAGUUAGUACAUCUCCUAAAGUUGGUGGGCCAGGCCAUGGGCGUACUAGACCCUUUACUGCCGACAGAGUCCUGACUGACGAGGAAGUGGAAUGCGCUAUCGCUUUGUUGAGACACACUGCUGAUGAGGAGACCAUCCGUGAAAAGAUGAAAGUCACUUUCGCAUACCGCCACGCCAUGGUCAAUGAUGAGAACAAAUCAGCAGAGAUAGAACAAGAUUUUAGAGCGAUGUUUGGUGAGCAGACUGCCAACAAGUUCAUGGAGAGGUGGCCUACCACUUUCAAAGCAGGAGUCAUUAAGGAAAGCCAUGGACUGGUCCCCUCCACAGACCUUCUUGAUUUAAUGCACAACGCUGAGACAUCUACUGAAGUUGAAAAAGGCUGGGACAGUGACAUGUCUGCCAUCAUACUGCUGCUACAUCUGCUACCACCAUCUGCACAGGGACGAAAGAGGCCAGGGAAGAUAUCUGCAUCUAAUGCAGUUUAUCACCUCAUCAAAUUCCAAAAGACGGGAACAAGUGUGCAGCAGCAUCUUGACAACAUCCCUCAAAGCAGUCAGCCCUACCUCCUUGCUCACGGACCCACAAAAAGCAGCAUUCACUCUUUCUUCAUUGCCAUCGACAAGCAUGCGCUUCCAUGCCAAGCCACCAGCUCGGUUGGAGCCCUGGAUGAGCUCUUCAAGGCCCACUAUGUGUUUGGUACAUCUUACAGUCCUGCCUUGAACAACUUUUUCACUUUUCUGCAAACUUCCAUUUACAACAUUGACGUGGGGAAAACUAAGGAAACGCCAAGAAUUGCAGAGUUGCGAGCGAGAAUGGUGCGUUAGGCACUCUUGAAAUUAAACAAUGAGAUGCUUUCUUUGCAUCAAUGUCUUUUGUGAAGCAAACAAUCUAGUAAAGCACCUCAAAGUGAUACAUGGACUCUGUACGGGAAGGACUCUUUAUCUUCAAUGUGGCCAAGUGGGAUGCUCACGUUUUUUCAAUAGUUUUUCUGGUCUUAGGAAGCAUCUGAAUAAGUGUCAUGUGAAUAGUGCAUGUGAUGUUAUUGUUACAAAUGUCAUGUGGAAAGAAUGACACCACUAUGUAUGUUGUCCCAUAUUGUUAUCUCUGAGGAGUUAUCAGGAAAUAAAUGGUGCUACAGUACCUGAUGGUGUGUAUUGUCUUAUAUUAUAGCAGUUAAAAACAUUACUAUUUCAUUAAAAUAAAAUAAAAUAAAUAUACACUAUAUAGUGUAUUUUAAGAAUAGC
ensembl:lncRNA